rnacentral:piRNA from 1 species
UAGGUUCUACUGGCUUCUAAACCAUGCUU